GUGAGGAAUAUUGCGCAAUGGAGGCAACUCUGACGCAGCCAUGCCGCGUGCAGGAAGAAGGCGCUACGCGUUGUAAACUGCUUUUAACCGGGAAGAAACCCCAGGACGUGUCCUGGGUUGACGGUACCGGAGGAAUAAGCACCGGCUAACUUCGUGCCAGCAGCCGCGGUAAUACGAAGGGUGCAAGCGUUAUCCGGAGUCAUUGGGUUUAAAGGGUGCGUAGGCGGAGCGUUAAGUCAGUGGUGAAAUCCUGCAGCUUAACUGUAGACUUGCCAUUGAUACUGGCGCUCUUGAGUGCGCUUGAAGUGGGCGGAAUGUGCCGUGUAGCGGUGAAAUGCUUAGAUAUGGCACAGAACACCAAUUGCGAAGGCAGCUCACUAAGGCGAUACUGACGCUGAGGCACGAAAGCGUGGGGAUCGAACAGGAUUAGAUACCCCUGUAGUCC
rnacentral:rRNA from 1 species